AUGAUGUCGGGGGACACAGGCAGCUCAUGCCUGGAUCAGGCAGUGACUGGUGUGUGUGUGUGUGUUAUGAAGAGAGAGGGAUGGAAAUUGUGACCAGAGAGUUGGAGUUGGGACCCCUGUCUUGAUCACU
ensembl:lncRNA UST-AS2 UST antisense RNA 2